UACGAACCGUCCAAACGUUAUUCGGAAUUACUGGGUUUAAAGGGUACGUAGGCGGCGCUGUUAGUCGGGUGUGAAAGCCCUCGGCUCAACCGAGGAAUUGCGCUCCAAACUACUGGGCUAGAGGAAGAUAGAGGUGAGCAGAACUGAUGGUGGAGCGGUGAAAUGCGUUGAUAUCAUCAGGAAUACCGGAGGCGAAGGCGGCUCACUGGGUCUUUUCUGACGCUGAGGAACGAAAGCUAGGGGAGCAAACGGG
rnacentral:rRNA from 1 species